rnacentral:rRNA from 1 species
UACAGAGGUCUCAACCGUUGUUCGGAUUCAUUGGGCGUAAAGGGUGCGUAGGCGGUCGUGCAAGUCGGAUGUGAAAUCUCAGGGCUCAACCCUGAAACUGCAUUCGAUACUGCGUGGCUAGAGUACUGGAGAGGAGAUUGGAAUUUACGGUGUAGCAGUGAAAUGCGUAGAUAUCGUAAGGAAGACCAGUGGCGAAGGCGAAUCUCUGGACAGUUACUGACACUGAGGCACGAAGGCCAGGGGAGCAAACGGG